rnacentral:rRNA from 1 species
AUUGAACGCUAGCGGGAUGCUUUACACAUGCAAGUCGAACGGAGUGGCGGACGGGUGUGUAAUAUAUCGGAACGUGCCCAGUAGCGGGGGAUAACUACUCGAAAGUGUGGCAUAUACCGCAUACUAUUAGAGCGGCCGAUAUCGGAUUAGCUAGUUGGUGGGGUAAAGGCUCACCAAGGCCACGAUCCGUCGCUGGUUUGAGAGGACGACCAGCCACACUGGGACUGAGACACGGCCCAGACUCCUACGGGAGGCAGCAGUGGGGAAUUUUGGACAAUGGGGGAAAGCCUGAUGCAGCCAUCCCGCGUGUAUGAUGAAGGCCUUCGGGUUGUAAAGUACUUUUGGCAGAGAAGCGGUAUCUGCAGAAUAAGCACCGGCUAACUACGUGCCAGCAGCCGCGGUAAUUC